rnacentral:tRNA from 1 species
GGAUGUGGCUCAGUGGUAGGGCACUUGCCUGGCAUGCAUCAGGCCCUGGGUUUGGUCCCCAGUACCA